rnacentral:rRNA from 1 species
GUGGGGAAUAUUGGACAAUGGGCGAAAGCCUGAUCCAGCCAUGCCGCGUGUGUGAAGAAGGUCUUCGGAUUGUAAAGCACUUUAAGUUGGGAGGAAGGGCAGUAAGUUAAUACCUUGCUGUUUUGACGUUACCGACAGAAUAAGCACCGGCUAACUUCGUGCCAGCAGCCGCGGUAAUACGAAGGGUGCAAGCGUUAAUCGGAAUUACUGGGCGUAAAGCGCGCGUAGGUGGUUUUGUAAGUUGGAGGUGAAAUCCCCGGGCUCAACCUGGGAACUGCCUCAAAAACUGCAUGACUAGAGUACGGUAGAGGGUAGUGGAAUUUCCUGUGUAGCGGUGAAAUGCGUAGAUAUAGGAAGGAACACCAGUGGCGAAGGCGACUACCUGGACUGAUACUGACACUGAGGUGCGAAAGCGUGGGGAGCAAACAGGAUUAGAAACCCGUGUAGUCC